GCAUAAACACGUCGAAAUUCAUACCGGACCAUAAGGAACUUGGAGGUGCUGGAGACGUGCUGGAGAAGUGUGAGGAAAGCCCUGGUGCGGCAUGGCGAUCAUGAUGGCUCUUUAUAAGGCUUAAGACAGCUUCUACCAAUCACAUAGAAGUGGAAAAAGAUGAAGGGGAAGAAGAAGAAAAAGCUCUGUGGAGCUUCUCUUUGUGAAAGAACAUUUUUGAAGACCUUUAAAACGUGAAACUUCAGCUGGUCCUAGACAACAUUACAACAUCCCAGAAAGAAGUUGGAAAUCUUCAGAAGUUUGUCACUUCCGGUGACAUGACCCAGGGCCACCAUAAAGUAGGAGCUCAAGAGAAGAUUUGUAAUUUUACUCUCUGACCUUUAAAAAGAUGGAUGGUCCAUUCUGCACAAAUGAAGAGUACCCUCAUAAGGGCAUAGACCGGCCAGAAGAUCUGUCUCCUUGAAAUAGAUGAGCAGAUCUCAGGGUUAGGAUGAAGACUUGAAAGUACUGUUUAAAAAAGGAAUGUUCAGGAAGACGGAAGAUCA